rnacentral:rRNA from 1 species
UAUGAUUUAAAUGUAAAGUAUAGCCUGCCCACUGAGUUUUAAAGGGCUGCGGUAAUUUGACCGUGCAAAGGUAGCAUAAUCAGUAGUCUUCUAAUUGAAGGCUUGUAUGAAUGGUUGGAUGAAAGAAAAACUGUCUUUUUUAUAAUUUAAAAUUUGACUUUUAAGUGAAAAGGCUUAAAUUUAAUAAGGGGACGAUAAGACCCUAUAAAACUUUAUACUCUUUUACUUUUACUGUGAAUUUUAAGUAAAUAUGGGUAAGUGUAGUGAGUAUUUUAUUGGGGAGAUAUCGAUAUAAGUUAUAACUGUCUGAGGAAAUAAAAUAAUCAUAGUUAUAUUUUGACCCUUCUUUGUGGGUAAAAAGAAUAAGUUACUUUAGGGAUACACAGCGUGAUUUUCUCAGAGAGUUCCUAUCGAAGAGAGUAGUUGCGACCUCGAUGUUGAAUUAAAAUUUCGGCUAGGUGUAGGCGCUUGGUUGGUGGGUCUGUUCGACCUUUAAAAUUUUACAUGAUUUGAGUUCAAACCGGU